rnacentral:rRNA from 1 species
CAGCCGCCGCGGUAAUACGAAGGAUCCAAGCGUUGUCCGGAUUUACUGGGUUUAAAGGGUGCGUAGGCGGGGAAUUAAGUCAGUGGUGAAAGCUGGUAGCUCAACUAUCAAAUUGCCAUUGAAACUGAUUCUCUCGAGUACGGUUGAGGUAGCUGGAAUGUAACAUGUAGCGGUGAAAUGCUUAGAUAUGUUACAGAACACCGAUUGCGAAGGCAGGCUACUAAACCGUAACUGACGCUGAGGCACGAAAGCGUGGGGAUCAAACAGGAUUAGAUACCCUGGUAGUCCACGCUGUAAACGUUGCAUACUCGGUCUUAGCGAUAUACAGUUAGGACCUAAGCGAAAGCAUUAAGUAUGCCACCUGGGGAGUACGGUCGCAAGAUUGAAACUCAAAUGAAUUGACGG